UUCUUUCAAUAAAGGAGCAUUUGGGUGAU
rnacentral:piRNA from 1 species